rnacentral:lncRNA from 10 species
AUUUUUAAUUUUAUGGCUAAUGUUUUCUCCUGUCCAACAAAUCUUUGCCUACCUAAUGUUUGCAAAAAUAAUGUUCUAAAAUUUCAUUUGGAGUUUUAUGGUUCUGGGUUUUAUGUAUACAUCUAGGAUUCUUGUGUAUUUCUUUUUUACAGAAGUCCCGGAGUAUUAUUAAUAGUAUCUCAUUUCCAUUUUACAAAUAAAAGGGGGCAAUGUUCAGAACUUUACCUAAGGCCAUACUUCUAGGGCUCAAACUCUAGUCUCAUUAUAGCACAUUUUCUGCAUUCUCUAAUAUAUGCCAUGAAGCGUUCACUAAGCCCCCAUCAAACCCAAUGCCCUACAGAGUUUUUUUGAGACAGAGUCGGACUGUCACCCAGACUCUAGUGUGGUGGCAAGAUCACAGCUCACUACAACCUCGAACUCCUGCACCCAAGCGAUCCUCCUACUUCAGCCAGUCAAACACUGGAAUUACAGGUGUGCACCACUGCCACCAGCCUACACAGAUAUUUUCAUAAUACCACCUUUACUACCCUAAAAUGAAAAUCCUAGGAAAUAUAAACCACCUACAUAUAUACAUUAUUAAAAAUUAAUAAAUCACCUAGCUUAAUAUGAAAAAGUCUUAAAAACAACAUAAUUUAUAAUAAAAACGAUAUAUAUUUCAGUAUGUACAGGCUUGGGCAUGACUGCAAUAGAACACAUAGGGAGUAAAAUGCUUGAUCCUAUGCAGAAUCACUAAGAAUGUGACAACUACAUUGCAAAUGGAUUCAAGUGUGUUAUGCUGGUUACUCAGAUAACAGGUGGAAAUUUUUUAUUUUUAUUUUUCAAUUUUUGUAGGCACAUAGUAAGUGUAUAUAUGUAUGGAAUAAAUGAGAUAUUUUGAUACAGGCAUAAAAUGCAUUAAAAUCACAUCAG